rnacentral:rRNA from 1 species
ACGACCCUUUGCGUGCACACACGCUCCCAACG